UGUCACAAUAAGGUCCCCAGAUGCCUGCUGGGGACUUCUGGUAGAGUGUUCUUCUUGGCUUUGAGGGAGAGCCACCAGGCACGAGGAUGUCUUCUCUUCCUCUGGACAUAUUUAUGAAAUUAGUCUUAAAACUACUUCGGCCAGUGUGAAGCAGACACAUGGCAAGAGGAGAAAGAGAAUUGAAGAGAAACAAGCCACAGCUCUGAUCAAAUCAUAUCUAAUCGCUGCUUUUAAGAGCUGUGGGUUUUUGGACCUUUUAUGAUCAUGCUCUUCAAAGUCCUCUGGUUUGUAAGCCUGGAGCAUUCCUUCAAAGACUAUCCCUGCUGGAAUGAGCCCUCUAGAUGCAGUUUGGUCCAGAUCCCCACUCUUGAGUCGAGAAGUGCCUGCCUUGGUCACCUUCAGUCUGUGGAGAACAGAUCACAGGAUUCUUCUCUCUGGUCAUUCAUCAUCUCCAACUCAAUGUCUAAUGAGAAGACCUUUCCGUGGGAGGAGAUGCAUUCUCAUGCAGACUCACUGCUGGCCUUUCUAAUUUCCCACGCAGUUUUGCUUUUUACAAUGACUUUGGUCUAAGUGCACCAUCAGUUUUGGGAAAGCCUGUUGAGCUCUUAUUAGCUUACAGUGGAAGGCAUUGUGAUAGAGACAAUUUGGCAAUGCAAAGGCUUUGGUCAGGUGUGAUAAUAAAACUGCAUCCUAGAUGAUCUCUAACUAAGCCCAGUAAGAACAGAUUGGUUGCAUCCCAAGGGUAAGAUGCCUAUUGUGCAGCUAGCAUAUAGAAAUAAACUUCUAUAGUGAGAAAUCUGUGGUGUGCAUGGUGUCUAAUAUUGUGAGCUUGCAAUCAUACGGGCAAGUUUUGUACUUCCGUUUAAAUAGAACUAAGUCAAGACCAGUGGUUUUCAUACUUGGUUGGGAGUUGAGGGGGGAUGUGGGGUAGACGUUUAGAAGUCAUGGUACUUAAGAUACAACACCAUGAAGCAACACUUUAUUUAAUACCAUACUAAGUAUUAGGCAGAUUUUGGAGGCAGAAAAUUGGAUUCUUAUUUCGUUCUUAGCAUAGAGCCUAUCUCUUCGUUAUUCCAGGCACAGAAACACUAGUCUAACAUGUAAACAUAAUUGCAAAGCAAUGUAAGGUUUUACUAUAAUCUUUUUGGACAAUGUGAAGUAGAGAUGACAUUCAUAAAACUGCAAAACUUUUUUAAAAAGCUUUUCACCCUUCCAUCUUCUUGAACUCUCCCUUACUGUGAUGUCGUAAGUGCCUCUAAAC
ensembl:lncRNA